GCAAAACGACGUCGUCAGAUAAAUCGAUUAGAUUGAACUGACUUUUGAAAUAACGCAGUGAUAAAUAUUUUAGCAAUUGUUUUAUAACGUACAGCAUAUUUUAUUGUUUUUAACAAAACAGUGUAUGGAUUUAUUUUGACGAGUGUGCAUUCUGUUUUUUUUUUCUUUUUUUUGAGGGGGGAGGGGGGUCUGCUUAGAAAAGUUUACAUAUCUAAAUAAUAAAUUUCAUACAUUUCUAUUGAUAUGUUUAUAUCGAAACCCAAAAUUCUUAAGUGUCGGAAAUAAACACUUUUGUUGAGCUAGUCCCAUUAUAAGUAAAUUUAUUUAACUACAUGUAAGAUAACCAAUACUAGCCUUUGUUUAAUUAAAAUUGUAAUUUGAAAGAGAGAAGAAAGAAAAACACAGCACAAACUUAUUUCCUUUAAAAGGAUUCAAAGAUGUCCAAAAAUGGACAAUAAGAAAGACAUUUAACUGAGUUUUUCAAUGCGUAUAUAUUGUAUGUGUCUUUGUUUAAUAUUAUACAUUGGCUAGAGGUACAAUGUAUAGGUGGAGAGUUGAGAUCUCACAAAACAUGUUUAGGAUCCUCUGGCAUUUAUAAGUCAUUAUUUGCAUAUAUGUUUUGUUUUGUUUUAAUUUUAGUUCAUUUAUAUGUUUUAGAGUUCAGUGUGACGUCCAUUUUCAUUGAACUAGUAUACAUUUUUGUUCUCGCUGAAGCCCCAUUGUUGGCCUAUAAUUGUGCUUUCUGCUCUUAGGCUGUUAUGUUGUCUCUUUGAAACAUUCCCCAUUUCCAUACCUAAUUUUAUAAUAAACAGCUACUCAAUAAUGAACCAACACCAUACAAUAUUACGAUAAAAAAUUGUUUUCGUGCAUGGGACCGAUAAAAUCAAUGUUGAUUAAUAAGUCCAGUGGCAAAUAUUUCAAACUGAAAGAAUUGACAAACAUCAACAACAUUGACCUGUAAUUAGUAAGUCAAGAAACUGUGUGUAGCUAGACAAAUGUCCAGUUUGUAAAAAACCAUAAUGGCCAAAAAGUGCAUAAUAAAACAUAAAUAAUAGAGAAAUAUGGGCAAAAACCAAUGGAUAAUAAGAAGUGUUAAAUAGAAUGAAUAGAGAAUAAUGAAAAAAAAUAAAGAUUAGAAAAUAAUGAAUGAAAUAAAUAAAGAACAGAGAAUAAUUAAUUAAUUAAAGAAAGAAAGAAAGAAAUAAAGAAAGAAAGAAUAGAUAAUAAUGAACGAAAUAAAUAGAAGAAAAGAGUCUAGAAAUCAAAGAAUAAAAAACUAGGAACCCCCAUUCGUACCCUCAUGUAUGUCUAGAAAAUGUCGUCCCAGUAAGCAGACACUAAACACUACUAUAGCACUGACGUACGUGGUGCAGCUAAUAUGCAAAAAUCGAUCGUUAUAAUUAAGUGAUAGUGAGUGCUUAUAUUACAUCACUUGAUUGGUUUUAAAUAUACAUUCUUGAUAAAGUAUGCAGGAUGACAACUCUUUAAUCUCUUUAGAAUCUUCUUGGUUUGAAACAAGACACAUGGUAAUUAAGCAAUUUUACAGUUAGAAACGUUCGACUGUUAAAUUUAGUUUCGAACUUCACAAGCAAAAAAGGGAAAAUAGCAUAUUUCUAAGUUUUACCCGACCGGGUUUCGAGUGUUUGAACUGGGUUUUCGAUAAUUCUCUUUUUUCUAAAAUUCUUGUUUUAAUCUAAAACUGUAUUGUAACUUGAUAAAGGUGACCGGGAAGUAUAGGGGGAGGUUCAUGGCGUUACUUUUCUAUUGGUAUCAAGCCACUUGACAUCGAACUCGAUAGGACAACUGGUUCCUCGAGAGCGGAAAAUUUAGCUUAACUGAAAUGGUAUAUCACAGAGAACAACGAAUUCCAUGUAGAAUUGAGAUAGGUUGUGUAACACUGAAAAUGAGAGACGUUAAGCCGGGGUCACACAUUCACGAGUUUUACUACCGCUCUUGAAAGGACCAUUCCCGAUUAAAAUUUGUCAAAAGUCUGAUCAAGAUCCUGUGAAUCGUGAAUGAAAAUUCAAACUUGAAUUAAAAUUUGUAAAACAAUAAUUUAUUCACGACAACAAUCAGAUAUUAUUCAGGAAGCGUCGAUAUUCAACCGUUUCGAAGCGAAUUUAUCCCGAUAAUCCCGUUCUCAAUCCGCUUCUUAUCCAAUUUGUAAUCUUUCGCCAGGUAAAAUUCGACCGAGUAUGUUACGACUGCGUCCCGAUUCUACCGAAUGUAAUCCGACAGAGACCAGACAGUGACCAGACAAGACAGUGAACCGACGCUGACGGAAGUUAUCCGUUCGAAAACUGUCUGCAUAAUCCGGAUGAGCAGGUACUGUCGGAACGUUAUCCUGUUAAGGUCCGCUCUAUCGCAUUGCAAACGGCUUUGUCUGGUCUCAGUCGUAUUGUAUUCUGUAAUUGUCGGGACUCUGAAGUGGGUAUUAUUGACGAAUUUUGUAUUAUUUAAUAACUGUUCCGGAACAGUUUCGGCAAAAACGGUUCGUAAAUCCUCACAAGAGCUGGACUCAAUCUGCAGAAAAAACGCAAUGAAAAUUUCUCCAGAUCAUUUCCGUUCCACAGGACACCGCCCAGAAUACACAUAACAAAGUUAGGAUUUUGAUCCGAUACAGCAGAAUCUGUCACGACGUAGGCACGAUUGUAAUCCGACUAGACAAAAUCGGCUGAGUUUCCCCGAAUGUUACGGGACGCACCUAACAGUCGGGGUGCUUCGCAGAACUAUUCGGACCCUUCCCCGACACUUAGGAAUCUGUUCCGAAAUUAAACGACUGCGUUCAAACAAUGAUAGGACAUUCCAGAUAAUUGAGGAUAGUAAUCCGACUUUUUCAUUUUUCGUUUCGUAUCGCUGUCUGAUCUCAAACGGGAGCAAUAAUCGGCAAUGUGUGAACCCCGCAUUAAACCUCUACAUACAUCAAUUUAAAUACUACAAGACAAUAGGCAGUUUUUGUAGAAUUGAUAAAGAUAGUAAAAGAGGGACUUUUACGCAAAGGAGGUUGUUCACAUCUCUAAUUCGUUUGUUAUAUACAAAAAAGGCAGCGUCUAGUUCUUGUAGAAUUGAAAUAGAAUAAAGGGAAAUUGUAGACAACUUAAGGGAGGCUGCAGUAUGCAUCUUACCAUCGUAAUUAUUUUGAUUAAAGCUAAGUUUAAGUAUUUCCUAUAGUCGGUUGAGUUUUAAUAAACCGUGAACAAAAAAAAACAUGUGUGAUAUUUAUACACCAGGCAAUGUCUUUCAAUGCAUCUUUUUGAAAACCAUUAAGAAGGAAGGGAGCACUGAAUACAUAAGAGGGGGCUGCUCCAGUCAUGUUUCAGUGAUUCUUUAUUUAAGCCUCCCCUAAAUCCGCCUCUGAUUAACCACGCCAGCUAGAACAGACAAUUUUGUUAACUGUCUUUUAGACUGACAACGAAAAACUUCAUUAAUUAAUACGGAAUAUAUUAGAUUUAUUUACAUGCAACUGAGCCAAAGCCAUUAAUAAUAAACAGUUGACAUUAAUCAGCAUUUGUUUAGAGGCAUUAAUCUUCUAUAAAACGAGAUUUUAUCGUAUAUUAUAACUAGAUUUCAUCGUUUAUAAAGAUACUUUGUCGUUUAUAAUUCAUCCCAAGAUAAUUAUUAUAUUAACAGCAUGUAUUGAUGAUUAACUUAUGAAUUAAUAUAUUGUAACGUCCAGCACAUAGAAAACGAGAUAAUAUAAAUGAAUUUGGAAAUAUAAGCAACAUAGCUGUAGUAAUUAAGUAGAAGACAUUUUAUUCACAAAUUAACCUGCCACAAAGAAUUACCCUUUCACGUGUGUGAGAAUAUGUAUAAAGCCAAUUCACGGCUUCUGAUAAUUUAUUUGUAGAAAAUUUGUUGGGAUGUCUUACCGUUGGUCAUAAAAAAAAACUAAGAUGAUGCCAUUAAAUUAGAAAGACAAACAGCACCACGAGGCUGUGGAUGUAAAAUUACAGAAUAGACAACAAUCAGCAAAAAUAUAUAGAAUAAAGAAAAAUAGACUAAAAUAUAUAGAAUAAAGAAAAAUAGACUAAAAUAUACAGAAUAAAGAAAAAUAGACUAAAAUAUAUAGAAUAAAGAAAAAUAGACUAAAAUGAUAAAGAAUAGAAAUAAUGAGGUGCUUGGAUAUAAUGAAUAGAGAAUAAUGGCCAAAAGUAUGAAUAAUGCAGAAAAAAUGAUAUAAGAAUAGAAAUAAAGGAUCUCGUAAUCCAAACCCUUCACUAUGAACAAAACUCUACACAUAUAACUAAAGAAAUAAUAACCCUGUAUAAAUGUGUUUCUUCUGGAGAAAAUUUCUGGCUUGAUUUUUAUCUGAAAAGAUCAUACUCAAUACAUUGAAGCCAUUGAUGCCUAGGUACUUUAACAUGUGAAGCGUUAUCAAGAUGUGCAUAACGUUGAUUGGUUGGUUUCGAACACCACGUUGAUUGGUUGGUUUCGAACACCACGUUGAUUGGUUGGUUUCGAACACCACUUUCAUCACUAUUGGCCAUUUCGUGGUGGAGGAAGCAUCGAUUUUCGGCAGGAAAACUGACAAUUCUAGACAAUACAGAUUGAAGUCUAAUCCACCUGACACGUGCGUGGUUUGAAUUCACAACCUGAAUUCUGACAAGCUAGUGAUACAAAAACAAUGGGAGACCGAGGCCCUACAUAGAAGAAGAAGAAAAAAAAAAUAUUUACUAAAAUGUAAAUAACACUUAAUAAAUUGAAUGAAAUAAGGGAGCUACCAUUUGAUUUUUAUGGGGGGGCUAGGAUGAAAAAUUUUGUCCUGCAUUUUUUUUUAGCUGUAAUCUCUGUCCUGCCUUUUUAUUUUUCACUCUGUUAGGUCCUGCCUUUUUUUUUUAGUUUAUCCUGACUUUUUUUUACCUAAAUUGUUGUCCUGACUUUUUUUUUUUGCAAGUGUCUCAUCCUGCCUUUUUUUUUACUCAAAACUCCUGUCCUGCCUAUUUUUUCAAAUUUCAUCCUAGCCCCCCAUCAAAAAUCAAAUGGUAGCUCCAACGAUGAAAACUAUUACUUUAAUGAUAAAAAUAAAUAAUUCAGCUGGUCUCUCAUAAUCUUCAUCAAAAUUUAAUGACAAAUAAAAAUUGAUAUUGAUUAUUUUAUAUCAUCUAAUAACGUUAUACAAAAUUUAAUUUUAUUUAAGAAAAAAAUAACCAUUCGAUUUUACUUUUC
rnacentral:lncRNA from 1 species